GACGUCAGAGGAAGAGUCAUGCCUUCUUCCCUGUUCUUUCAUCCCCUUCAUCCAAUUUUCCCCCAAUUCAAUGUAUUACGUCAUCUACAACUGGACAACAAUGCUAGGAUGACUUAAAGCGUCAUUGCAAUUACCAAUUCAAUCAAUUAGGUCUCAUCAUUGAGGCUACCAGUCGGCCACCUUCUUCAUCUUCCUUCCGUUUCCUUAUUUAGUUAUGCUCAGAGUUACAAAUCUCACACUGUUCAUUCAAUUUUCAUCUUCAUUGCAAUUCCAUCAGAAUCGAGCAGAAUCGAUUGACAUACAAGAGAUCGUUAUUGCCUUUUCUGAUCGAAAAUUGAGCGGUGAGAUAAGGGCUAAAGAGAACUUGAUCAGAGAAGCAGACUACAGUAUGAGAAAAAGCCCAAAAUUGCAGCUAUCACGUUGGUUUUCCGAAAUCAACCCCUACUGUUACAUCAGUUUACUUCCAUGGAUUACACUUGCAAGCAUUGAUGAUGUACUUGCAUCGCUUGUCUUUGGUUUAUGAUUUACUAACUCUUCUUAUAGGUUUUUAGUUUUUAGCAGGGUAAAUUGUCCAUAACAUGAUUGCAAAAGAUAAAAUGUGGCUUUUGAUGAUGAUGAUGAUGAUGAUGAUGAUAAUGAGGACUUAUAAUUUCUACUUCUGUCCCCAGUUGUAAGGCUAAAUUUUUUGAAUGAUGUGUAUCUUUAAUAUGUAUUCAUUCAAAUGCCUAUAUAACUAUUGAAUAUGUGGGAAGGCAAGCGAUUAUAUAGGUAUCACUCAAUAUUUUUGAUUUCGGAAGCAUAAGCUUUUUAGUAAUUGGAAUUGUGUUCUAUCUUGUUGUUUUCUAUUAUAAUAUAUAUGGUUAAGUCUUGUGUUCAGAUUACCAUGUAGAUGAGACACAAAUAAGAAAGAUGACAUAUCAGUAUUGCUAAUCUACGUUAGCUCUGUUUAAGCAUUGAUUCCAUUGAGCAUGUAUCUUUUCUCCAUUUUGGUUAUAUAGAUGAGCUUGUUCUUUCCAGAUACGAAGGAGCCAACAUGCUCCCAUUAAUCCUGCUGUAACAAUAGUAAAUGCAACUGCUUACGCCUUUGAAAUUGGGAUUUCUUUCGCAAAAUGCAAAACACGCAUCGAGGUGGACAUGUGAAGAAGAAGCAAUGCGACGGUACGAGACUUAUUAUAUCUGCAAUUGCGGGAAUAAUCGUUGGAUAACUAAUCGGGAUUAAUUUUCCUUAUGUUGCUCUUACCAAGGUUCUUGGCUACCCUAGCUAAUCCCAUCGCGUAUUGUCAACUCCGCUGCAACGUGCGGCGACUCUCAAAAGCUGCGAAAGAGAUAGAAAACCAGCGACUUUGGUGGUCGUGCUACUCAACGGCAGUGAUAGAAGGUUGGGGUAAUGGUAUUGAUUGGAGAAACUGGUUCGGAAAAAGCACCCAGCUGGUUCAACGGAGAAGUGGCUGUGAUAUGGGAAAACGACAUGGAGUUUUGGGUGUAUAGUUUGGGGUUUGCGGAUCAUUAGAAGGAUGGCCGAACAAACAACGGUUUUCUGAGAAAGUGAGAAUAGGAUGUAAGUUAUUGUUAUGUUUUUGUUUUUUAUGUGUGAAGUAUUGAUAGUUUUAAUCAUCUCAACUUGUAUAGCUGUAAUGAGUUGGUGAGAAGGGAGCAAGAUAAAAUUA